GCGUGUACGAUGAAGGCCUUCGGGUUGUAAAGUACUUUUUGUAGGGAUGAGGAAGGACAGUACCUGCAGAAUAAGCCUCGGCUAACUACGUGCCAGCAGCCGCGGUAAAACGUAGGAGGCGAGCGUUAUCCGGAUUUACUGGGCGUAAAGCGCGUGUAGGCGGAUUGGUAAGUUAGCUGUGAAAGCUCCCGGCUUAACUGGGAGAGGUCGGUUAAUACUGUCAGUCUAGAGUAUGUGAGAGGGAAGUGGAAUUCCGGGUGUAGUGGUGAAAUGCGUAGAUAUCCGGAGGAACACCAGAGGCGAAAGCGGCUUCCUGGCACAUUACUGACGCUCAGACGCGAAAGCUAGGGGAGCAAACGGGAUUAAGAGACCCCGGUAAGUCCUAGCUGUAAACNAUGUAAACUUGGCGUUGGUGGGGUCAAACCCAUCAGUGCCGGAGCUNACGCAUUAAGUCUACCGCCUGGGGACUACGGCCGCAAGGUU
rnacentral:rRNA from 1 species